UAGUCUAGUGGUUAAGGCUAUGGAUCUCUAAUCCGGAGACGGCGGGUUCGAUUCCCGU
rnacentral:tRNA from 1 species